AGAGGGUCACGAAGACGACAUUCAAGCAGGAGGUGAUAUCUCGGAGGACUCCUCAGCGAACGAGGAUUCAAGUUCUGAGGUUAACACACAAGAGGCUGCUUGUGGACAUGCGACUGCAAAGGAACAAGUGUCUCGUUCUCGUGCAAGUGGGCCUAGGUCACACUCUGGGAAGCUUCUACCUGAAGAAGAAUUUCAGCAUGAGGUGCUGACACGACUGUCAGUACUCCGGAUUGUUCAGCAGCAGCACGGCGAGUUGUUAGCA